rnacentral:rRNA from 1 species
CGGCCUAAACAUGCAAGUCGAGCGGCAGCGGGAAGAUAGCUUGCUAUCUUUGCCGGCGAGCGGCGGACGGGUGAGUAAUGCCUAGGGAUCUGCCCAGUCGAGGGGGAUAACAGUUGGAAACGACUGCUAAUACCGCAUACGCCCUACGGGGGAAAGGAGGGGACCUUCGGGCCUUCCGCGAUUGGAUGAACCUAGGUGGGAUUAGCUAGUUGGUGAGGUAAUGGCUCACCAAGGCGACGAUCCCUAUCUGUUCUGAGAGGAUGAUCACCCACACUGGGACUGACACACGGCCCAGACUCCUACGGGAGGCAGCAGUGGGGAAUAUUGCACAAUGGGGGAAACCCUGAUGCAGCCAUGCCGCGUGUGUGAAGAAGGCCUUCGGUUUGUAAAGCACUUUCAGUAGGGAGGAAAGGUAGCAGCUUAAUACGCUGUUGCUGUGACGUUACCUACAAAAGAAAGACCGGCUAACUCCGUGCCAGCAGCCGCGGUAAUACGGAGGGUCCGAGCGUUAAUCAAAAUUACUGGGCGUAAAGCGUGCGCAGGCGGUUUGUUAACGAGAUUUUAAAAUCCCCAGGCUCACCCCGGG